rnacentral:rRNA from 1 species
AGAGUUUGAUCCUGGCUCAGAAUCAACGCUGGCGGCGUGCCUCAGACAUGCAAGUCGAACGAUUAAACUUUCCUUCGGGAGAGAUAUAAAGUGGCGCACGGGUGAGUAACACGUAGGUAAUGUACCUUUGGGUGGGGAAUAACUUAGGGAAACUUAAGCUAAUACCGCAUAAUGCAGCGGCUCCUUCGGGAGACAGUUGUUAAAGCAUUUAUGCGCCUAAAGAGCAGCCUGCGGCAGAUUAGCUAGUUGGUAAGGUAACGGCUUACCAAGGCUACGAUCUGUAUCCGACCUGAGAGGGUGGUCGGACACACUGACACUGAAUAACGGGUCAGACUCCUACGGGAGGCAGCAGUCGGGAAUUUUGGGCAAUGGGCGAAAGCCUGACCCAGCAACGCCGCGUGAAGGAUGAAGUCUUUCGGGAUGUAAACUUCGUAAGAAUAGGAAGAAUAAAUGACGGUACUAUUUGUAAGGUCCGGCUAACUACGUGCCAGCAGCCGCGGUAAUACGUAGGGACCAAGCGUUGUUCGGAUUUACUGGGCGUAAAGGGCGCGUAGGCGGCGUGACAAGUCAAUUGUGAAAUCUCCGGGCUUAACUCGGAACGGUCAAUUGAUACUGUUGUGCUAGAGUACAGAAGGGGCAAUCGGAAUUCUCGGUGUAGCGGUGAAAUGCGUAGAUAUCGAGAGGAACACCAGAGGUGAAGACGGGUUGCUGGGCUGAUACUGACGCUGAGGCGCGAAAGCUAGGGUAGCAAACGGGAUUAGAUACCCCCGUAGUCC